rnacentral:rRNA from 1 species
UACGUAGGGUGCGAGCGUUGUCCGGAAUUAUUGGGCGUAAAGAGCGUGUAGGCGGUUCGGUAAGUCUGCCGUGAAAACCUGGGGCUCAACCCCGGCGUGCGGUGGAUACUGCCGGGCUAGAGGGUGGUAGAGGCGAGUGGAAUUCCCGGUGUAGCGGUGAAAUGCGCAGAUAUCGGGAGGAACACCAGUAGCGAAGGCGGCUCGCUGGGCCAUUCCUGACGCUGAGACGCGAAAGCUAGGGGAGCGAACGAGG